CUCCUCCAGGCGGGCCCGCGGCCGUCUGCACAGCUCCGCUGGUGUUACACGAGCUCCCGGGACUAUAUUUCAACACGUGCUUUCCCCCUUCACCUCGAAUCUCCUCCAUCAACUCUCAGGCACCAACCGCCUCCGACGUCCGACGCGCGCUCCAGAGCGAGCAUGCGCUUCCCAGACACCGCGAGCCCGCUACCGCAUGACGUCUAGUGCGCAGGCGCCAAGACCUUAAACCACAUCAAAAUCGUCCUCUCACGACACUGAUUGAAUGCAUCAGGUAAGCAUAAGGUCCUAAUGUGUUUUUAUUGGUCAGAAUUGUACACAAUUAUAUUUCAUCAUACAUGUCAUUCACGGUAACUUUGGCAGCUAAAGUAACUUACUGACAAAUUCUAAUACUGAGCACAGAAUAGUUCUAUAUCAAUAAAAAUGAGAUUAUUUUUGAAAA